AAUGACACUGUAUUGAGUUUUCUUUUAGAAUGAUUAUUUUUGGCUUUAUUUGAUAGGACAGCUGUAGCAUGAAAGAGCAGAGAGAGGGAAAGGGCCUCAGGCGUGAAUUGAACCUGCAGCUGCUGUGACGAGGACAAAGCCCUUGUACAAGGGGCACCCACUCUGCCAGGUAUCUGUCUGACUGGUUUCAUCAGAGCAGCUGUGUGCACACACUGCUUCAGACAGGACCGUUUGGAGCGUCCUCUUUCCACCAUGACCGCAAGUAAGAGCUGAUGUGCAUGCACCGACGACCCUGUGGUCCAAGCUGAUCAGAGAAUCACCAGGUGGAGUCAACAACAUCCUUCACAACAAAUUGCCCCCUCUGACCGCCCGAGAGGCUGGAGGAACUUGUGGAAAGACACGUCACCCUGUUGCCACCACAAUAGAGAACGAGGACGCUGUGAGCUGAUGGAGACAUCUGUCACAUAGUCAGAGGUAUGUGCUGUCACUUCUGUUAUUGGUAAACACCAGCAGUAUUAAACACCAACGCAUACUCGCAUAAACAAAACCCCCAGAGAAAGUCU